rnacentral:rRNA from 1 species
GAUACCUACGGGGCGCAGCAGUGGGGAAUAUUGGGCAAUGGGCGCAAGCCUGACCCAGCAACGCCGCGUGAAGGAAGAAGGCUUUCGGGUUGUAAACUUCUUUUCUCAGGGACGAAGCAAGUGACGGUACCUGAGGAAUAAGCCACGGCUAACUACGUGCCAGCAGCCGCGGUAAUACGUAGGUGGCAAGCGUUAUCCGGAUUUACUGGGUGUAAAGGGCGUGUAGGCGGGACUGCAAGUCAGAUGUGAAAACCACGGGCUCAACCUGUGGACUGCAUUUGAAACUGGAGUUCUUGAGUACUGGG